UUGGGAAUAUUGCGCAAUGGACGAAAGCCUGACCCAGCAACGCCGCGUGAAGGAUGAAGUAUUUCGGUAUGUAAACUUCGAAAGAAUAGGAAGAAUAAAUGACGGUACUAUUUAUAAGGUCCGGCUAACUACGUGCCAGCAGCCGCGGUAAUACGUAGGGACCAAGCGUUGUUCGGAUUUACUGGGCGUAAAGGGCGCGUAGGCGGUCGAGUAGGUCGGAUGUGAAAUCCCCGGGCUUAACCUGGGAAUUGCAUUCGAUACUGCUUGGCUAGAGUGUGGAAGAGGGAAGCGGAAUUUCCGGUGUAGCGGUGAAAUGCGUAGAUAUCGGAAGGAACACCAGUGGCGAAGGCGGCUUCCUGGUCCAACACUGACGCUGAGGCGCGAAAGCGUGGGGAGCAAACGGGAUUAGAUACCCACGUAGUCCCUGAGCGGGCUGGCAAGGCGCAU
rnacentral:rRNA from 1 species